GGUCUCCGUUGGUGAACCGCGGAGGAUCAUUACAGAGUUGCAAAACUCCCCAAACCAUUGUGAACCUUACCUUCAACCGUUGCUUCGGCGGGCGGGCCACAGCGCCCCCCGGGCCCCCCCAGCGGGGCGCCCGCCGGAGGAUACCCAAACUCUUGAUACUUUAUGGCCUCUCUGAGUCUUCUGUACUGAAUAAGUCAAAACUUUCAACAACGGAUCUCUUGGUUCUGGCAUCGAUGAAGAACGCAGCGAAAUGCGAUAAGUAAUGUGAAUUGCAGAAUUCAGUGAAUCAUCGAAUCUUUGAACGCACAUUGCGCCCGCCAGUAUUCUGGCGGGCAUGCCUGUUCGAGCGUCAUUUCAACCAUCAAGCCCCCGGGCUUGUGUUGGGGACCUGCGGCUGCCCGCAGGCCCUGAAAACCAGUGGCGGGCUCGCUGUCACACCGAGCGUAGUAGCAUCAUCUCGCUCAGGGCGUGCUGCGGGUUCCGGCCGUUAAAAAGCCUCUAAUACCCAAGGUUGACCUCGGAUCAGGUAGGAAGACCCGCUGAACUUAAGCAUAUCAAUAA
rnacentral:rRNA from 1 species